rnacentral:rRNA from 1 species
UACGAAGGGGGCUAGCGUUGCUCGGAAUCACUGGGCGUAAAGCGCACGUAGGCGGACUCUUAAGUCGGUGGUGAAAUCCUGGAGCUCAACUCCAGAACUGCCUUCGAUACUGGGAGUCUCGAGUUCGGGAGAGGUGAGUGGAACUGCGAGUGUAGAGGUGAAAUUCGUAGAUAUUCGCAAGAACACCAGUGGCGAAGGCGGCUCACUGGCCCGAUACUGACGCUGAGGUGCGAAAGCGAGGGGAGCAAACAGG